AUCUAUGGCCAUAGCACACUGAUCUGUGAAGCAGGAUCAGGCCGGGUCAGUACUUAAAUGGGAGCUACCUGGGAAUACUGGGUGCAGUAGUCU
rnacentral:rRNA from 1 species